rnacentral:sRNA from 1 species
UUCGUUUGCGUGGACAUUUAAUUAGUUUUUCUUGGCGGUCCGUGUUAUACUAGGUUCAAGUAAUUGAUGAACUGAAACAGUUGUGCUAGCAUAAUGGAUUUCUUUCAGCGAUUACCAAGUUGUUUUGUCACUUAUGUAUUAAUGAAGGAGAUUCACACAUUAUGCAACAGGGUACUGUUAAAUGGUUCAACGCUGAUAAGGGUUACGGCUUCAUCACUGGUGAAGACGGCAAGGACGUAUUCGUUCACUUCUCCGCCAUCCAAGGCGACGGCUACAAGACGCUUGACGAAGGCCAAGCUGUUAGCUUCGAAGUAGAACAAAGCGACCGCGGCCCACAAGCUGCUAACGUUACAAAGCUGUAAUCUACAGCGUUGGGAAAGCACUCAUCCGACUUUUGCCGGGUGGGUGCUU